UACGAAGGGGGCUAGCGUUGUUCGGAUUUACUGGGCGUAAAGCGUGCGCAGGCGGUUAUGUAAGACAGAUGUGAAAUCCCCGGGCUCAACCUGGGAAUUGCAUUUGUGACUGCACGGCUAGAGUGUGUCAGAGGGGGGUAGAAUUCCACGUGUAGCAGUGAAAUGCGUAGAGAUGUGGAGGAAUACCGAUGGCGAAGGCAGCCCCCUGGGAUAACACUGACGCUCAUGCACGAAAGCGUGGGGAGCAAACAGG
rnacentral:rRNA from 1 species